rnacentral:lncRNA from 1 species
UCUUUAAUCAGACUCCACUCUUAACAGUGUUGUGAUUUGUGACACAUCUCUAUAAGCAGGCUUCAGUGAAGCAGGAUGACAAUGUGAAGCAAAGGAUACGAAUAGAUCCCCGACAUGAAUGAAUGUGCUUGAGUUUUAGAUGUUCAAAAAGGAAUUAUUAUCGGUGAUGCUUGAUCUAAAAAAGUCACCCUGAUGAUCUUCCCUUGACCAGGAAAACUUUGUUCCACCAUUGAACAGAAGACAAGGAGAGGGUUUAUGAGGACCGAUAUCCUCAGUGCCACUGAUAUGCAGUGCCAAUUCUCUCCUCUCCCAGUGAGAAAAAAAUGAUUUAUUUAACAGAAUUGAAUCAAUAGAUGGAUAUAGCAAGUAAGUUUUUUUUGAACUGUAAGUACUCAAAUGCACUUGUAUCAGUUCCAAAUGUUACUGGGGAGAUGGGAGUAAAGAAGUAAUAAAGGAAAAGAGAAUAUUUAUAAUGCAUAUCCCCUUCUAUCUCUUAGAGACUUGGGAUUUUGGAGGGAAAGAAUGUUGCUGACGCGUUGGUAAAAGGAUCCAGCAAGGCCAUGGUCCUGCCACCAUCUACACAGAGACCUGUCCAAGUAGAAACUGAGCAGCGCGAAAGAAAAAAAAAAAAAUCAGACCUGGAUUGUAGAUGAAAUACUAAGCUGUAGAGAUACAAGAGUGAUGUGAAAAGGGAGGAAUCGUUGCUUCCUGUAGCUACUGAAAAUGAAUGAGCAAUAUGGAAAUGGAUGGAAAAGCCUUAUAUAGGGAAAUAGUGCUGCUUUUAGAAGUUCUGCUCUUAGUGGAGCUGGCUGAUGAUGUGAUUCAUAUCUGCUAUUAUGGAUUGUGAGCUUCUGUAACUCUGGUUAACAUUAAGAUGAAAAAGUGUGAAUGCCCCCCCUCCCU